rnacentral:rRNA from 1 species
AUUGAACGCUGGCGGCAGGCCUAACACAUGCAAGUCGAGCGGAUGAAGGGAGCUUGCUCCUGGAUUCAGCGGCGGACGGGUGAGUAAUGCCUAGGAAUCUGCCUGGUAGUGGGGGAUAACGUCCGGAAACGGGCGCUAAUACCGCAUACGUCCUGAGGGAGAAAGUGGGGGAUCUUCGGACCUCACGCUAUCAGAUGAGCCUAGGUCGGAUUAGCUAGUUGGUGGGGUAAAGGCCUACCAAGGCGACGAUCCGUAACUGGUCUGAGAGGAUGAUCAGUCACACUGGAACUGAGACACGGUCCAGACUCCUACGGGAGGCAGCAGUGGGGAAUAUUGGACAAUGGGCGAAAGCCUGAUCCAGCCAUGCCGCGUGUGUGAAGAAGGUCUUCGGAUUGUAAAGCAUUUUAAGUUGGGAGGAAGGGCGGUAAGUUAAUACCUUGCUGUUUUGACGUUACCAACAGAAUAAGCACCGGCUAACUUCGUG